rnacentral:rRNA from 1 species
GACGAACGCUGGCGGCGUGCUUAACACAUGCAAGUCGAACGGAAAGGCCCUGCUUUUGUGGGGUGCUCGAGUGGCGAACGGGUGAGUAACACGUGAGUAACCUGCCCUUGACUUUGGGAUAACUUCAGGAAACUGGGGCUAAUACCGGAUAGGAGCUCCUGCUGCAUGGUGGGGGUUGGAAAGUUUCGGCGGUUGGGGAUGGACUCGCGGCUUAUCAGCUUGUCGGUGGGGUAGUGGCUUACCAAGGCUUUGACGGGUAGCCGGCCUGAGAGGGUGACCGGCCACAUUGGGACUGAGAUACGGCCCAUACUCCUACGGGAGGCAGCAGUGGGGAUUAUUGCACAAUGGGCGGAAGCCUGAUGCAGCAACGCCGCGUGCGGGAUGACGGCCUUCGGGUUGUAAACCGCUUUCGCCUGUGACGAAGCGUGAGUGACGGUAAUGGGUAAAGAAGCACCGGCUAACUACGUG